rnacentral:rRNA from 1 species
AAUGAACGUUGGCGGCGUGGAUUAGGCAUGCAAGUCGCGCGACAAGGAACCUUCGGGUUCUGGAGGAGCGGCAAACGGGGUAGUAAGGCAUCGGAACGUACCCUCUUGUUGGGAAUAGCCGCGGGAAACUGCGAGUAAUGCCCAAUAAUCCCUACGGGGCAAAGGUCCGCCGCAGGAGGAGCGGCCGAUGUGAUACCAGCUAGUUGGUGAGGUAAUGGCUCACCAAGGCUUAGACGUCUAGGGGGUGUGAGAGCAUGGCCCCCACCACUGGACGUGAGAUACUGCCCACGACACCUACGGGUGGGC